CACCCCUGGGAACAGAGCGGAACAAUUGCCAUUGUGAGUUAAGCAGGCCGUUUAUGGGGAGGAUAAAAGUUAAUGAGAGCUGUACUUCAGCCCCCACCAGUAAGCAAGAGCAAGGCUGGCAAAUAAACCACACACAGAGGUGGAUUUGAAGCCGCUGCCUGCUCAGCAGAGAGCCAUGCGAUGGCAGCUUGCUGGAGGAAGGGAUGUGAGCCACCCUCUCCUUAUCAGGAAGGUGGUCGAGAUCUGGACAUCACCAACUUCAUCUAAAUUCUCCAGAAAGCAAAAUACCCCAGGACCCCGGAAUGCCCAACCUGGACAGGGAGAGCCAUAGAUAGGAUAUCAUUGUCUCCGACAAAAAGAUGCUGUGGACUGAGUCACCUGUCAUUGGCUGUUUGGAGUCCACUAAUCAGUGCUGGAAGCCCAAGUUGAUGUAACAUGAUAAAUACAAAUGUUCUGGAGAUGAA